rnacentral:rRNA from 1 species
ACAUGCAAGUAUUACGAUGAACCACUUCGGUGGGGAUUAGUGGCGAACGGGUGAGUAACACGUGGGCAAUCUGCCCUGCACUCUGGGACAAGCCCUGGAAACGGGGUCUAAUACCGGAUACUGAUCCUCGCAGGCAUCUGCGAGGUUCGAAAGCUCCGGCGGUGCAGGAUGAGCCCGCGGCCUAUCAGCUUGUUGGUGAGGUAACGGCUCACCAAGGCGACGACGGGUAGCCGGCCUGAGAGGGCGACCGGCCACACUGGGACUGAGACACGGCCCAGACUCCUACGGGAGGCAGCAGUGGGGAAUAUUGCACAAUGGGCGAAAGCCUGAUGCAGCGACGCCGCGUGAGGGAUGACGGCCUUCGGGUUGCCAACCUCUUUCAGCAGGGAAGAAGCGAAAGUGACGGUACCUGCAGAAGAAGCGCCGGCUAACUACGUGCCAGCAGCCGCGGUAAUACGUAGGGCGCAAGCGUUGUCCGGAAUUAUAUAUGCGUAAAGAGCUCGUAGGCGGCUUGUCACGUCGGUUGUGAAAGCCCGGGGCUUAACCCCGGGUCUGCAGUCGAUACGGGCAGGCUAGAGUUCGGUAGGGGAGAUCGGAAUUCCUGGUG